UACGUAGGGCGCAAGCGUUGUCCGGAAUUAUUGGGCGUAAAGCGCUCGUAGGCGGCUUGUCACGUCGGGUGUGAAAGCCCGGGGCUUAACCCCGGGACUGCAUUCGAUACGGGCAGGCUAGAGUGUGGUAGGGGAGAUCGGAAUUCCUGGUGUAGCGGUGAAAUGCGCAGAUAUCAGGAGGAACACCGGUGGCGAAGGCGGAUCUCUGGGCCAUUACUGACGCUGAGGAGCGAAAGCGUGGGGAGCAAACAGG
rnacentral:rRNA from 1 species